rnacentral:rRNA from 1 species
UACGAAGGGGGCGAGCGUUGUUCGGAUUUACUGGGCGUAAAGGGCGCGCAGGCGGCGCAUUUUGUCAGGCGUGAAAGCCCCGGGCUUAACCUGGGAACUGCGUUUGAUACGGAUGGGCUAGAGUUCGGGAGAGGAGAGUGGAAUUCCCAGUGUAGAGGUGAAAUGCGUAGAUAUCUGGAGGAAUACCGGUGGCGAAGGCGGCAUCCUGGACCGGCAUUGACGCUGAUGAGCGAAAGCUAGGGGAGCAAACGGGG